UACGGGGGGGGUAAGCGUUGUUCGGAAUUACUGGGCGUAAAGGGCUCGUAGGCGGCCAACUAAGUCAGACGUGAAAUCCCUCAGCUUAACUGGGGAACUGCGUCUGAUACUGGAUGGCUUGGAUUCGGGAGAGGAAUGCGGAAUUCCAGGUGUAGCGGUGAAAUGCGUAGAUAUCUGGAAGAACACCAAAGGCGAAGGCAGCAUCCUGGGAAGCCACUGACGCUCAAGUGCGAAAGCUAGGGGAGCGAACGGG
rnacentral:rRNA from 1 species